UGGGGAAUCUUGCGCUAAUGCGGGAAACCGUGACGCAGCGACGCCGCGUGAGGGAUGACGGCCUUCGGGUUGUAAACCUCUUUCAGCAGGGAAGAAGCGCAAGUGACGGUACCUGCAGAAGAAGCACCGGCUAACUACGUGCCAGCAGCCGCGGUAAUACGUAGGGUGCGAGCGUUGUCCGGAAUUAUUGGGCGUAAAGAGCUCGUAGGCGGUUUGUCGCGUCUGGUGUGAAAACUCGAGGCUCAACCUCGAGCUUGCAUCGGGUACGGGCAGACUAGAGUGCGGUAGGGGAGACUGGAAUUCCUGGUGUAGCGGUGGAAUGCGCAGAUAUCAGGAGGAACACCGAUGGCGAAGGCAGGUCUCUGGGCCGCAACUGACGCUGAGGAGCGAAAGCAUGGGGAGCGAACA
rnacentral:rRNA from 1 species